AUUCUGUAUACUGCUGUAUAAUGUUUGUUAUUACAAUGAAAAUGUAUUUUUGAAUUGCUUGAGCAAUUUCUUAAACACGAAAAUUUAAAAAAAUGUUGCCAGCAUUUAAAAUGAAAAUUCCUUCUCCCCCCAAAAUAAGAGUGGCUGAAAGGUGAGGGAAUGGAUAAAAACAUAAAUCAGCUUCCUACACAUGUCACCCCAUUAGCCCUAACUCUGCACUCUCUCACACAACCAACAAAACCACACUGCUGGAAGUAAAGGGUGGAGAAUCCCCGGUACGCAUACUGUUCCUCGGCAGACAGUACUAGUUGCUAACAAGGUCCCAGAUGAUAUCGAUACUCCUGGUCCAGGAGCCAUACUUGGCGAAACGCUGGUUUAGGGCAUGAUGUUGUUCUGCUGCCCUGGAGGGAAUUCACUAGAAGCAGAGGUGCCCACCAGGUGAGUGCCAGCCUUGCCACUGCCUUGGUCUCCCUGCAGUAGAGUUGAGAGCCAAGGAACACAGGCCAGGCUUCAGGCUGGCUCAGCCUGCAGGUCCUCCCUGUGGUCCUACAAUGAACUCGCUGGACUAGGUGUUUCCUGGUUCAAGUCCCAGCACCUGCCGGUUAUACGAGCCUUUAAACUCAAGUUUACCCAUCUCCAUAAUUGUCCUAACUCUUGAAGUGAUUGUAUAGAUAAAGUAAAAUGUGUUUCUAUAACAGCUAUUUUCUGGUUUAUUACCUCUCACUGCUUUCUAAGGAUGGGUCCUACCAACCAGAGAACCAUUUGUUUUUUGGUGGUUGUUAAUGAGUUCGGGGUAUAAAAACUGGCAGGCAAGAUUAGAAUGGAGUGGAGGUGCUCUGAAUGCACUUCAAGAGUCCUUUGAUGUGUUUGUGAAAACAUCUGGGUGGGAGGAGCCAGGAGUUAGUGAGUUGGGGUCACGGGGAGAAAAGAGAAAGGAAAAAAAACACUCUACCAGUGCCACGGCAUGGCCUGGAGGAGGGCGUCCGGACAACGGAAGAUUUUUAAAUAGCUUGUUAAGAGAUGAGUGAUAUCCACUUCUUCUCCAUCCUCCUAAUGUAACCGUCAGUAAACUCUACAUUGCUGAUUAGGAUUUUCUGAGAGCGAACUCCUUAGAAAACUCAAAGAGAUGAUGAAUUCUGCAUCGGCUUCUGAAUGAUCCCAGAGGGGAGCCCUGCAGAAGAUGGGGCUGCAGCAACGCACAGGUGGCCCUGGGUUUCCUGUAUCCAAAACAAAUAAUUCUUCCCUGCCUCCAAUACCCUGGCCCUCUAGAGUGCCCUGAUCACAGCACUCAUCUCCUUACCACCACAGUUACAAGAGGAUUUAAUUGGUUUUAAUUUGUUUAAAAAUUUAAAGCUUCAUUUGUUUAAACCUCUCAGCGGCUUAGUAAUAGACAGGGAAAUAAGUAAGACAUAUCUUUCUGAAUAAAGGGGACUGGAAAGAGGGAUGAGGAUGGAACAGAAGCAGUGGAUUGUCUGCAGGGAAGAUAAGUGACGUGGCAGCUCCAAGGUGUAUUAGUGAACAGACUUCCAAACGCCCAGGCUGGGAUAGAGGAACCUGGGAAGCUAUCACAGCUCUGCCCAAAGGGGCCAUAGAUGUCGAGCCUCUGCUUCUGUGUCUUGGGCGUUGGUCACUCCAGAGUGGCUUUUCAACCAUUAGCUAACCAGGUGAUCUAGGAACCGGAGCAGUAAGUGCAGGGAACCCUAACCCUCUCGAGUCUGAUGCUUACGGAUCAUGUGGUCUUGUUGGGGGAAAGGGCUGUUGCUGAGAGAUCGGUGCAGAUGGGAAACUUGGCAACAGACGGCCUGAAAAGCCCAGAUUAAACAAACACUAAGAGCAUCUGGAGGGACACGGCGUCACUGGGAACAAUCAGAGGGGCAACGCCACCCCCUCGGUGAUGGUAGGCGUGGUGCGCUGGGGGCAGGUGUGGGGCCUUGGUCUUUCCUCCGUCCACCUCCUUCACUCUCUCUUUGUCUCCUGGCUGGCUGUCAGCUGCGUGCCCACAAAAUGAGGGUACCUCAGCUCCUCCUUGCAGGGCCCAGCUCCCAGGCUGUCCGCGGUCACCAAGCAGCCCCUUCCGUGGCUACCACACCCACGGUAGUUGCAGAGACAUCAGCCGAUGAUAAGAGGAGCAGGGCAGCCACAAGAGGCUGACAUCAACUUGUGAUUUCCGACUCAGGCCAAAGCUGAUAAGGAGAAGGGGCCGCCCGUGAUGGCCACACUGCUGGCUGCUGCUGAGUCCUGAACCUGCAGGGGCUGAGUUCUCGGUCCUUCAUCCUGUCCUGGACUUACUCACUUCACUCAUUCAUUCCCUCAUUCAUUCGUUCAUCCAUUCAUCCCUUUGUUUUAUUUACUGAGCCAGACUGUCUCUUAACAUUCUCUUAUCCUGUGGUGGAUAGAAUAAUGAAUAAGACCUAGCCUCUGCUUUCUCAGAACUCACAGGGGGAGGGAGGCGGCAGACGUGUGACCUAAGAAUACAAAGAUGUAAGAUAAAAUGUGAGUUCAGUCACGUGAGUGGGACCGAAAAGAAGUAGCCAUGAGAGGGAAGCUGAGCUCUAGAGCAAAUGGUUCAAAUUUCUGGACUUCUUUCUUCUCUUCAAAUGGCCUCUUCUACAAAAGGAAGGGAUGGAACAGAGCCCACUCGGCCCUUGCAGAGAAAGGUCAGCAGCUUCUCCUUUGGUUGCAAAGGAGAAACCCAAGCGACAGAAACCCAGUGCAAACAGUCUUAAUCGAAAAGGAGGGAGCAUUUAUUGGAUCACAUAGUUGAACAAUUAAGAGAAGAUCUAGACAUCAGGGUUUCAGGCACAGCUGAAUCCAGGCGUUCAUGCUGUCUGCAAUCUGCCUCUCUCCAGAGCCAUUUAGGCAUUAGGCCAUAUCGGAUGACAGCAUAGAGUGUGUGAGUUUUUCAAAGGUCUAGAAAUGUGUUGGAGAUUCCCCCAAAAUCUUGCUUGGCUUCAAAAAAUAAAAAAAAGAAAGAAUAUGACAAACUAGCAAACAUGUCACCGUGGAGGUGAUCUGCUCCCCAGCACUGCUCUCUCCUAAUCAUCAAGGUCAGCAGAUGCUUUUUGGUGUUCAUCCGUGUCCUGUCUGCAGUCUUGGACACCGUUGACCAUCAAGUCCUUGACACUGUCCCACCCCCAGCUUCCAUGGUACUCCACUUUUCCUCCUGACCUGUUUUUGCCUCUUCUGUACCAAAGGAAGGAUGGUUAGGAGUGAGCCAGGAGAAGGGUUGGGAAGAGAAUCCCAACUUCACUGCACAUGCGAAGGCCUGGAGGUGGGACACGGCCUGGAUCAUUAAGGAACUGCAGUCGUUCUGGAAGGCGUCAGAGCGAGGGGAUAAAGCCUGAGGUUGGGGGUCAAGGAAGGACCAGAUCAAGAAGGGCCUUGCAAGUCAUGCUAAGGAAUUUGGCCAUUCUUUUGAAGGUCUGGAGGCUGCAGACACCGGUCAGGGCUCGUCUAAGACAUCAGGUGGUCCCGGGCUGGAGGCCUCCCUGGGCAGGACUGUGGACAGCCGAGCUGCAGCUGAGCCAAGAACCAGCUCUUUGCAGGAAAACAAGCACCUUACUUUCCAUUCUGCUGCCUGAGACAGUCACACCCUCCUCACACUUACCCCAGGCCCCCAUGGAGAGCUCAGAUGUGGAUCCGGACCUCCAGCGGAGCGUGCACGCUGUGCUCCGAGAGCUCAGUGCCCAGGCCCCCGCCCUGCCGAGCAACCAAGGCAUGUGGAGAUGGUCCCUGCACAAGAAGGUCGAGCGGGAUCCUGGUAAGAGUCCGGCACUGGUCCGCAUACUGCUCAGAGAACUGGAGAAGGCAGAAAGUGAGGACGCCCGGCAUGUCAUCAUUCCCUUGCUGCACACGCUAAUGUACGUGCUCACUAAGGCCACGGGCAUCACAGAGGAGCUCCACCGGAGAACCUAUGCCUUCUGCACGAGGUUGCUGACCCUGCCCGCCCCCUACUGCACCAUCGCCCUGGACUGCGCCAUAAGGCUGAAAACGGAGACGGCCGUCCCAGGGACGCUGUACCAGAGGCUGGUCAUUGCCGAGCAGAACCUGAGGAGUGAGCUGUACCCCUACCGGGAGAGAGUGUUCCUCUUCGUGGAUCCUGAGCUGGUGUCUCCCUCCGUGUGCAGUGCCCUGCUGCUGGAGAUUGAGGCGGCCCAGGGGCAGCAGACACCAGAGGCCUGCAUGCGCCACGUGGUCUCCCACGCCCUGCAGGCGGCGCUGGGGGAGGCCUGCGAGGCAGGUGUGCUGCAAAGGAAGCUUCAGACCAGCUCCCCCCGCGCCCUGGAGCACUAUUUCCACGCCGUGGUGGCAGCCGUGGAGCAGAUGGCCAGCGAGCCCAGCCCGAGCCGAGAGGGCCACCUGGAGAGGCUGGAGGAGAUUUACUGCUCGCUGCUGGGGCCGGCGGCCGCCGCCAGGGGCCGCUGCGGCGCCUGUCCUUCAGGUGAGCCCCCCCAGGACCGGCUUCCAAGCAUCCCUCUGCCCAGCCCCCAUAUCACCUUCCACCUGUGGACCAAUGAGGAACAGCUCUGGAAGGAGCUGGUUCUCUUCCUGCGCCCGCGAUCCCAGCUGCGCCUCAGUGCAGACUUGGAAGCCUUGGAUCUGCAGGGCCUCCUGCCAGACGGGGAGUUGGCCCGGGCGUCCAUGCUGUCCACCGACAGCGGCAUUGAGCGGGACCUUCCUUGGGGGGCCGACGAGCCGCCCACACCUGGCAGCCCCGAGGUGGAGCGAGCCAGGCUGAGGCGCAAAGGGGGCAUCAAGAAGCGGGUGUGGCCCCCGGACAUCCUGAUGCCCGGCAGCUGGGAUGGGCCCCCGGGGCUGCACCAGAGGACUGGCAGUCCCAGCGGGGAUAGGGGGCUGCUGCCUGGGGUCUCCCGGCUGCACACGGCCCGGGUGCUGGUGCUAGGGGACGACCGGAUGCUGGGGCGUCUGGCCCGGGCCUACCACAGCCUCAGGAAGCGAGAGACCCAGAAGUUCUGCCUCACCCCCAGACUCAGCCUGCAGCUCUACUACAUCCCUGUGCUGGCAUCUGAGAAGCCCACAGCAUCCAGGCGUUCGGAGCUCGGAGAGGUGGCUGCGUUCCUGGGCCGUGCAGACCCGUGGUACGAGAGCAUCGUCAACACCCUGUGCCCCGCCAUCCACAAGCUGGCAGAGAUGCCUCUCUCCCUGGACACGUCCCAGCCCGUAGACCCCUUCAUCCUGGAUGCCAUCACCUACUAUGUUCGCAUGGGCACCCAACCCAUCUAUUUCCAGAUCUACGCAGUCAAGAUCUUCCUCAGUGACCUGAGCCAGGACCCUGCAGAGGACAUCUUCCUCACCGAGCUCAAAGUCAAGAUCCAGGAUUCCAAGUUCCCCAGAGAGAGCCUUUCACCCCGGAGGAGGGGCGUGGCCGAGGGCCCAGGGGCUGAGCUCUCUGUUCGCUACCAGAAGGCCCUGCUCAGCCACCGCACCCGAGAGGUCACCGUCUCCCUGCGGGCCACCGGGCUGGUCCUAAAGGCCCUUCCAGCCGGUGACACUGAAGUUUCAGGGCCCACCCACUGCCCCCCAACUGCUGCUCCCGAGACAGACCACACAUGCCUGAAUAUUAGCGUGACAGAGGUUGUCAAGACCUCCAACUUGGCAGGAAGGUCCUUCUCUACGGUGACAAACACCUUCCGGUCGGCUAACGUCCAGAUCCAAAGCCAGGACCAGAGGCUGCUGACACUGUUGCUGGACAAGGACAGUUGCCGCGCGUACAGGGAUGUGGCCAGCCACGACUGAACUGCUCAGGUGAAACCGACGGGGCUGGGAAGGCGAUGGAACUGCAGGACUCAGUCGGCGGAGGGGGCAGCAGGCUUCGAUGAGUCGUGCACUUUCCUGUGGAUCUUAAGGCUUGAGCCCGAGCCGAUAAAAGCCAUGCCGUGGGCAGUGCAAGAAGAAGGGCCGUGUGAGGACACAUCGAGAAGGCCACUGUCUCCAAGCCAGGAAGAGAGGCCUCACCAGAAAUUGAAUUUGCCAGCAAUUUGACCACGGACUUCUAGCCUCCAGAACUGUGAGAAAAUAAAUGUCUGUGGUUUAAACCACCCAGCCCAUGGUAUUUUAUUAUGGCAGCCGGAGAAGACUAGUGCAGUGUGCAAGGGAGUUUCAGAGAUGCAAUCAACAAUAUAGCCCUUGGUUAUUGAUUGACUAACGAUGUGGAGGUUAGGGAAGAAGGAGAUAUCAAGGAUCACAGAUGAUUUUGCAAUUUUGAACCCAUGUGUUGAGGGAAAAAGUCUGUAGAAAUGGCAGAGUCCAGAAUGACAGAAAACCAGUGCCUAUAUCAUAAAAAUGAAAGACAAUACAGAAAAGACAUUACUCCUAAGCCUGCUAGGUCCCUUCCACAAUGGAUGACUGCCACCGAGACCAGGGAUAUGGCUGUUUGGUGAUACUUGUGAUGUGGGGCAGAGCAGAAGACAUUUCCAAAAUCAGAGGGCUUUUCCAGAGCAAUGUUCAGGAAACCUGACUCUCUUUUCAAGUCUGGUUGGGAAAUAGCUUGGAGACAUGAGUUUGGACUGGACUGCAGUUCCUCUGGACCCUGGGAGCCUGUGAUCUGUGAUGGGAGGGUGAUGUGGUGAGGUGCCUUCUGUUACAGAAGUGAAGCUUAAGAUGUGACCCCUCGGGCAAACCACUUACCCUUCCAAGGUCUCACCUUCCAAGUCUGAAAAACAAGGGCCUUGGCCUCCAUGAUCUUCCAAAUUGUGCCGUUUGAUUGGACAUGAUCCGUUCCUUUGAGCCUCGGCCCUUCUCACCUGGCAGAACGGCAUGGCGUCCUGGAACCCGAGGGAUGUACUGAAUGAAUGUUUAUUUCCUUCCCUGAACCUGGCACUGUGCCCCUGGUCUGCUGUGCAGUGUGGCCACAUGGAGCCCCAAGUCCCAGCCCUAGACUGACCCUCUGCCCUCAAAACCAGGGCUCCAGGGGAGUGAUGGGAUGAACCCGAGGGGCAGUCCCUGGGGGCUGGAAUUGCGAGCCUGUGGUUGGGGGUCUGCGGUGGAAGGGGGAGCCCCAGGCAGGCACCUUUAGCUCCGGGAACUCCCUCCUAGCGGCAUCCGAAUUCCCGCUCUGCACAUGUCAACCAUCAUAGGCUGCAACCUUGGACUCCUGCAUCCCCUCUACCCUGUGCCAGGGAUGAGGGCAUCCUCUCGGGCCAGAGAGGCCAUUUUCUACCUCCACAUGGAGUGCGAGGGCCAUAAGCUGAGGGCCAGGAGCUGGGACCGCGGAGAACAAACCAGGACCGGAAGGGAGGAAGGGAGUCGGCCCGCAAUUCAGAAGUGUUCCACCAGGGGGCACCAAACACACGGGGAAACACCCGCCUGGCUUCCUUUGGCAAACAUGGGCCCGGGCCCUUCCCAAAGCUCCAGUUCAGGGUGAGGCCAGCUCCCUGAGGACCCUUUAGAUCUUGAAGCUGGGAACUACAGGGGGAAAAAAAAAAACAACAACGAGGAUCAGGUGCCACUGUUGAACUGGCUUUGAGUGAGAGAUAGGACUCCUCCGGGAGAAGGACUUGGGAGCGGGGAUGCUGUAGGGUUUGCAGUGGACUUGGCAGGUAAGAGACACGGGUACCAGCGGCCCUGCCAGCUCAGAGCAGCCGCUGGUAUUUCUUCCUGAGGAGACAAGCUACCCUUAUGCUGCUUUGGUCUUGGUCAGCGUGGGUGGGAGUCCCUGUAAGUGUGAAAGAAACAGGACAAAUGGCUGCAUGUACCUCUUGAAGGUCCCAGGGCUGAUGGGGGCCAUAUGGGGUCAGAGCCUUGAUAGGAAUAGCGUCAGCUUCACAGGUCCUCACCUCCUGCUUCUCAGCCCCCAUCCGUCCAACCCUGGCUGCCCCUCGAGUCUCACCUGUUUAUAUUUGGGUGCCUGCAGUGAGGGCCUCACCAGCGUUUACCAAUUACCCUGUUUUCACCAGCCUUCACCCCCUACCGAUGGAAAAAGAUGGGAGGAUUUGUCACCUCUGGGAAAACCCUGAGACCCUCUGAUACCGCCAUGAUACGACCUUUCUCUCCGGAAGCAGAUGGCAUCGACAAACUGCCUCUGUUGUUCUUCGCAAGAUAUAUUAAAACCUGUGUGCCCUUUUCCCAGAAAAGAGACUAGACUUCCAGUAAGGAGAGAAUCUUUUUUUUUUUAAAUUAAUUAAUUUAGUUAGUUAGUUAGUUUUGGCUGUGUUGAGUCUUCAUUGCUGUGCGCGGGCUUUCUCUAGUUAGGGCGAGCGGGGGCUACUCUUUGUUGCGGUGCAUGGGCUUCUCAUUGCCGUGGCUUCUCUAGUUGUGGAGCACGGGCUCUAGGCUCGCAGGCUUCAGUAGUUGUGGCACGUGGGCUCAGUAGUUGUGGCUCGCGGGCUCUAGAGCGCAGGCUCAGUAGUUGUGGCGUGCGGGCUUAGUUGCUCCGUGGCAUGUGGGAUCUUCCCGGACCAGGGCUUGAACCCGUGUCCGUCCCCUGUAUUGGCAGGCGGAUUCUUAACCACUGCGCCACCAGGGAAGUCCCAGGAGAGAAUCUUUUGCUUGGAGGUUGUAGAGGCUUUCAAGGUUUCCAUUGGAGAAUAGUGAGAUGCUUGCCCUCCACGGGGUGAAUUAGGUGAGAGAGCUAUGGUUGGGUGGUGUCACUACUGAACCUGCCAUAAAUAAUGGCCACGGGGGGCCAGUAUUUCUAAGGAAAGUUGUGAGAGGGAUCUGAAUGCCUUCCCCCCUCACAACAGCUGCCACCAGGCCAGUUGUGGGCAGCAAACCUACCUGGCUGUGUCUGUCCCAGGGGCUGGUGAGCCAGACCAGCUCGGGCGCUUAGGAUAUUUAAAGAAAUACUGUCUUUCACAGAGGGGGUAAUAUCUGAAUAUGCUUGGCAUUUUCCUGGAUAGAGACUAAAGAAGCAUUUAGAAAACAAAACCAUUUUUUCAAAUGAACUCUUCUGUGUUACUUGGUGCCCAGAAAUCUUUGCCUUACUACAAUCAAAAGAAUCUAAGCAAGGUGACCUGGGAGAGGAGAGAAGAGAUACCAGGUACCAUUACUACAUCCAAACUGGGGCCCACCACCAGCAUCAUGACGUCCACCAAUGGAAACAUGAUGGGGUUUACAGGUGGAGGACAAAGUUGGCAAACAGGCACGUGUAGCAUCGAAGCAUACAAUCAACAGAGCAAAAGGCAACCUAUGGAAUGGGAGAGAAUAUCUGCAAAUCCUACAUCAGACAAGGGGUUAAUAUCCAGUAUAAAGAACGAACUCCUACAACUUAACAACAAAAAACAAACAACCCAAUUAUAAAUAUAGGCAAAGGACUUGAAUAGACAUUUCUCCUAAGAGGAUAUACAAAUGGCCAACAAACACAUGAAAAGAUGCUCCACGUUUAUAAUCAUUAGGGAAACGCAAACCGAAACCAUGAUGAGAUACCCAUUGUGGAUGGCGGCUAUCAAAAAAACAAAAACAAAAAAACAAAAGACCAGAAACAAAAAACCCAGAAAAUAACAGGUGUUGACAAAGAUAUGGAGAAAUCGGAACCCUUGUACACUGUUAGAGGAAACGAAAAAUCCUGCCUUUUUCUGAACAUACAUCUCAUGAGGAAGCCUGUAACUUAGCUGCACCUGCACCAGCACAGGAUGACUGCCUCACCUUUUUCUUAUUUCCAAUCCCCUUUCCCCACGCUUCCCACACCUCAGACCACCCUGCUUCUUUAUCCCAUAAAUACCUCGAGGCCCUUGCCUUCAAGGAGGUGGAGCUUAGAUCAGUUCUCCCAUCUCCCGGCCUCAUGAAUAAACCCUUUCUCUGGUGCAAACCUCAGCGUCUCAGCGUUUGGCUCGCUGCACGUCGGGCAAACAAACCUGGCUUGGUGACAACAUGAGGUACCUACAGUGGUCAAACUCAUACAGACAGAAAGUAGAACGGUUGUUACCAGGGCUGGGGGCAGGGGGAAAUGGGAGGUGGUGUUUUGGGUUUUAGUUGGUGGUUAUAGGGUUUUAGGGUUUUAGUUUUCCAAGAUGAAGGAGUCUGGAGGUUGGUUGCACAACCAUGUGAAUGGAUUUAACGCUACUGAACUGUAUACUUACAAAUGUUUGAGAUGGUCAAUUUUAUGUUUCACCACAAUUAAAAAAAAUUUGUUUUAAAAAGAGGCAGGCCGGGGCUUCCCUGGUGGCGCAGUGGUUAAGAAUUCCCCUGUCAAUGCAGGGGACACGGGUUCGAGCCCUGGUCCGGGAAGAUCCCACAUGCCGCGGAGCAACUAAGUCCAUGCGCCACAACUACUGAAGGCCUUGCACCUACAGCCCGUGCUCUGCAACAGGAGAAGCCACCGCAAUGAGAAGCCCGCGCACCGCAAUGAAGAGUAGCCCCUGCUCAGCGCAACUAGAGAAAGCCUGCGCGCAGCAACGAAGACCCAACGCAGCCUAAAAUAAAUAAAUUAAAUAAAUAAAAAUAAAAAAAGAGGCAGGUCUAAUGGAGGAAGGCUCUGUCUCUUCCUGAGUUUAGCUCUUGGAGCUGAGGGUUCUAGGGUAGGGAGUAGGGGUCCCAGCUCUGCACCUUUAGCGCUAAGAGAGCUUGAGGUUCCCCUGGGGGUGGGGGUGGAUAUUGCCUCCUUCCUUCAGCAAAGAAGCUGCUACCUUGUUCUCCAGCUACCAAAAGACUUAGCAAGGCCCAAGCAAUUGUAGGGCCAGCAGAGCCAUUCUUCUCCACGGCUGUGAGCACUUUGAACUGUUUGGGAAAUGAAAGGAUUUCAGGGGACUCAGCCUGGCUACACUUAUCUCCAGGGCUGUGAGCCAGGAUCAUGCCUUGCAUUUUCAAAAGUAUUUUCCUUCCAAGAUAUUCAAGUUGUCGUCUGUGACCUUUGGUUCCAACUAUAAUUUUAGCCAAGGUUAAAUCAAAACGUUUGAAGCUCACAGCUCAUAUUUCCACAAUAUACUUUGUGAAGUGUUCUGUCUGGUGUCCUGUCUUUUUUCUUUUCUUAAAGAAUUUUUAUUUUAUAUUGGACUAUAGUUGAUUUACAAUGUUGUGUGAGUUUCAGAUGUACAGCAAAGUGAUUCAGUUACAUGUACACAUAUAUCUAUUCUUUUUCAGAUCCUUUUCCCAUAUGGGUUAUUACAGAGUAUUGAGUAGAGUUCCCUGUGCUAUACAGCAGGUCCUUGUUGCUUAUCUAUUUCAUAAUAAUGUGUAUAUGUUAAUCCCAACCUCUUAAUUUAUCCCUCCCCUGCCACCUCUCCCCUUUGGUAACCAAAAGUUUGUUUUCUGAGUCUGUGAGUUUGUUUCUGAUUUGUAAAUAAGUUCAUUUGUGUCCUUUUUUUUAAGAUUCCACAUAUAUUCCACAUAUAAGUGAUAGUGUAUGAUAUUUGUCUUUCUCUGUCUGACUGGCUUCACUUAGUAUGAUAAUCUCUAGCUCCAUCCAUGUUGCAGCAAGUGACAUGAUUUCAUUCCUUUUCAGGGCUGAGUAAUACUCCAUUGUAUAUAUGUACCACAACUUCUUUAUCUGUUCCUCUGUUGAUGGACAUUUAGGUUGCUUUCAUGUCUUGGCUAUUGUAAAUAGUGCUACAAUGAACAUUGGGGUGCAUGUAUCUUUUUGAAUUAUGGUUUUCUGUGGAUAUAUCCCCAGGAGUGGGAUUGCUAGAUCAUAUAGUAGCUCUAUUUUUAGUUUUUUAAGGAACCUCCAUUCUGUUCUCCAUAGUGGCUGUAUCAAUUUACAUUCCCACCAACAGUGUAGGAGAGUCCCCUUUUCUCCACACCCUCUCCAGCAUUUAUUGUUUGUAGACUUUUUGACGAUAGCCAUCCUGACUGGUGUGAAGUGAUACCACAUUGUAGUUUUGAUUUGCAUUUCCCUAAUAAUCCUGUCUUUUUUCUUCUUGUUCUGUAGGAAUGUCUUCUACAUUCUAGAUAUUCACCCUUUGUUGAUUUUCAUGCAGAAAAUAUCUCUGUUCAGUCUGUCACCAUCUUUUAACUUUGGUGUCCUUUUUUGAACAGGAAGCCUUGAUUUGUGAUGUAAUCAAACUUAAAAAUUUUUCCCCUUACAAUUUGUUUUGAGGAUCGUGUUUAAGUAUCUACUACCCCUGACUACCAGGUUACAAAGAUAUGUCUUACAUUUUUCAAUAUUAGAUCCACAGUUUUAGUCUCUCACAUUAAGGUCUUUAAUCCAUUUGGGGUUUCCUUCACAUAUGCUUAAGAUAGGCACCCACCUUUAUAUUUCUCCAUCUAGCCAAUUGUUAAAAUACCAUAUAUUAAACAGCCCACCUUUUCCUCCACUGAUUUAUGGUACUGCCUCUGUAUACCUAGACCUGCCUUUGAGUUCUCUGUUUAGUUUCUUUAAUCUAUUUAUUCCUGCACAAUGUCACACUGUUUUUAGCACUUGGCUUUGUAAUAUGUCUCAGUAUUCAGUGUGUUCUUCCUCUUUGCUCUUCUUUUUCAAGUUUCAUUUCCCCUUAUAAAUUUGGAGUUAGUUUGCACCAUCUCCACCCAAAGUCUGGAAUUUUUAUUGGAAUUACAUUGAAUUUGUACAUUAAUUUGGAGGAAUUUGGCAUCUUUACAAUUGCUAAGUCACAUUAUCCAUGAAUAUGGUAUAUCUCUCCAUUUGUUCAGGUCUUUUUUAUAUCCUUUAAUAAAGUUUUAAAUUUUACUUCAAAAAGAUCUUAUGUAGUUUUCAUUAUAUAAGAUCAUAAAUACUUGAUAGUUUCUGAUGCUAUUGUGAAAGGUAAUUUUAUUUUCUCUUAUAUUUUCAAUUGGUAUUGACUACUGCUGUCAAAACAAACCCUAUUGGUUAUUGUAUGCAGGGCACCAUCUCCAGUUAUCUUGCUGAACCCUCUUUAGUUCUCUGUCUCUUGACUCAGUUGGGUUUGCUAUGUAAAAGAGCAUGUCAUCUGCAACUAAUAUCAGUUUUGUCUUUACCCUGUUGACACUUGAACAUUUUGUUGUCAGUGGUGAUGGUGGUGAUGAGGUUCAUUGUCUUGGUUAGUGAGGACUUCUAAUGCCAUACUGAAUAGUUAUGGUUAAAUAACCAUAUUUGUUUUGUUCCAGACCUUGAAAAGAAUGUAUGUAAAGGUUUAAGUAUGAUGUUUGCUGAAGGUUUUAUUAAGUUAAAGAAACUCCCUUUUUUUCCUAGUUUUCUAACAUUUCAUCAUAAACUAUGUCAAGAAUUUCCUGCAUGUAUGGAGAAGAUGAGGUGAUUUUUCUUCUCUACUCCAUUUGUGUGAUGAAUUUUACAUCAAUAUAUCAAUACUUUGGAUUUUUAACUACCCAUGAAAUCUUAGAUAGCCCCUAUCUGAUCCUUAUAAGUUAUGUUUUUUAAAAACACACCAUUGAAUUUGACUGGCCAAUAUUUAAUUGAUUUGUUAAUUAAUUAAUUAAUUUUGCAUUAAUGUUCACUUUGUUUUCUUUCACUUUCCUUAAUCAGUUUUGUCAUUAUGGUUAUACUAGCCUCUAAAAUAAGUAAAGCAGCUUUCCCUCUCUCUUAUGUUUUCUAUCGUAUGGGACAACUUGUAUAAGACAAACCUCAAUAAAUGGUAAAAACUG